rnacentral:rRNA from 1 species
CCUACGGGAGGCUGCAGUGGGGAAUAUUGGACAAUGGGCGAAAGCCUGAUCCAGCCAUGCCGCGUGUGUGAAGAAGGCCUUCGGGUUGUAAAGCACUUUCAGUGGGGAAGAAAGCCUUGGGGCUAAUACCCUCGAGGAAGGACAUCACCCACAGAAGAAGCACCGGCUAACUCCGUGCCAGCAGCCGCGGUAAUACGGAGGGUGCGAGCGUUAAUCGGAAUUACUGGGCGUAAAGCGCGCGUAGGCGGUCUGAUAAGCCGGUUGUGUAAGCCCCGGGCUCAACCUGGGAACGGCAUCCGGAACUGUCAGGCUAGAGUGCAGGAGAGGAAGGUAGAAUUCCCGGUGUAGCGGUGAAAUGCGUAGAGAUCGGGAGGAAUACCAGUGGCGAAGGCGGCCUUCUGGACUGACACUGACGCUGAGGCGCGAAAGCGUGGGUAGCAAACAGGAUUAGAUACCCGAGUAGUC